AAUGGGAAAACAGUCCUGGAAAUUCCAUAGAAGCUUGCGUAUCUUCCUAAACCACAGUUUUAAUAUAUAAUCUUCCUCAAAACAUGCUCCCUUAAACAUGAGAGAGGAUCUUCAGCGACAAGGAUGGUUCAAAAGUUAAGACUUGAGAACGUAAAAUGAUUCAUUGAAAACGAAUUGAUGAUGAUAUUUUGAUGUUCUUAUUCGUUAUUGAACAGUAAAAAUGAUUAAGGAUUAUGCCAACUUCAUCUUCAUCAGCAGUUGCGGCUCAGUUGCGUCACUAUUGAUUGUGAGGCCGGCAAGUGGGAAAGUGUGAAAACAGUCCGGAAAAGCUUGCGUGUCUUCCUACUAAAUUUUAAUAUAUAAUAUUCCUUAAAACUUAAAAGUUCACAGUGAAGAUAAUUAAGGAUUCUGCCAACUUCAUCUUCGUCACCAGUUACGUCACUAUUGAGUGUGAGACCGGAAAAUGGGAAAACAGUCCUGGAAAUUCCAUAGAAGCUUGCGUAUCUUCCUAAACCACAGUUUUAAUAUAUAAUCUUCCU